CUACGUGCCAGCAGCCGCGGUAAUACGUAUGUCACAAGCGUUAUCCGGAUUUAUUGGGCGUAAAGCGCGUCUAGGUGGUUAUGUAAGUCUGAUGUGAAAAUGCAGGGCUCAACUCUGUAUUGCGUUGGAAACUGUAUAACUAGAGUACUGGAGAGGUAAGCGGAACUACAAGUGUAGAGGUGAAAUUCGUAGAUAUUUGUAGGAAUGCCGAUGGGGAAGCCAGCUUACUGGACAGAUACUGACGCUGAAGCGCGAAAGCGUGGGUAGCAAACAGGAUUAGAUACCCUGGUAGUCCACGCCGUAAACGAUGAUUACUAGGUGUUGGGGGUCGAACCUCAGCGCCCAAGCAAACGCGAUAAGUAAUCCGCCUGAGGAGUACGUACGCAAGUAUGAAACUCAAAGGAAUUGACGGGGACCCGCACAAGCGGUGGAGCAUGUGGUUUAAUUCGACGCAACGCGAGGAACCUUACCAGCGUUUGACAUC
rnacentral:rRNA from 1 species